GAUGAACGCUGGCGGCGUGCCUAAUACAUGCAAGUAGAACGCUGAAGGAAGGAGCUUGCUCUUUCCGGAUGAGUUGCGAACGGGUGAGUAACGCGUAGGUAACCUGCCUGGUAGCGGGGGAUAACUAUUGGAAACGAUAGCUAAUACCGCAUAACAGUAGAUGUUGCAUGAUAUCUACUUAAAAGGUGCAAUUGCACCACUACCAGAUGGACCUGCGUUGUAUUAGCUAGUUGGUGAGGUAACGGCUCACCAAGGCGACGAUACAUAGCCGACCUGAGAGGGUGAUCGGCCACACUGGGACUGGGACACGGCCCAGACUCCUACGGGAGGCAGCAGUAGGGAAUCUUCGGCAAUGGACGGAAGGCUGACCGAGCAACGCCGCGUGAGUGAAGAAGGUUUUCGGAUCGUAAAGCUCUGUUGUAAGAGAAGAACGAGUGUGAGAGUGGAAAGUUCACACUGUGACGGUAUCUUACCAGAAAGGGACGGCUAACUACGUG
rnacentral:rRNA from 1 species